AUGCUUGCCCGGCAUGUCACAAUGGGUGUUACGCACAAUUUGUCACGGAUACACCAUUCAGUUUCAAAAAGGCCCGCCUCCUUUAUGCGGAAUUCUUCCCACAGUUGUGAAGCCAAAGGAAAUCGUGGUGCUGCGGCAAGAGAUGUCAGCUCUGCUGAGCAAAGGGGCUAUAGAAGAAGUACACCCCUCUCAGAUGGAGUCAGGUUUUUACAGCCGCUAUUUUGUUGUACCAAAAAAAAGGGGCGGUUUGCGACCCAUAUUGGAUCUACGCCGUUUGAAUCUUGCACACAGGACGAGCAAAUUCAAGAUGUUAACGGUAAAGUCUAUGUUGUCUCAGAUUCAACCAAACAACUGGUUUGUCACGAUCGAUCUGAAGGAUGCAUAUUUUCAUAUUCAGAUCAUCAAGAGACACAGGAAGGUCCUCAGAGUCGCUUUAGAGGGCAAAGCGUAUCAAUACCGUGUUCUUCCCGUCGCCUUAGCCCUGCCUCCCCGAACUUUUUCGAAAUGCAUGGACGCAGCUCUGGCCCCAUUGCGGCUCCAGGGCGUUCGCGUGUUGAAUUACUUAGACGAUUGGCUGGUGUUAGCACAAUCGCAGACUCAAGCACACUCUCACUGGGAUCUUGUGCUGAAUCAUCUAAACAGCCUGGGCUUACGCACAAAUUUCCAGAAGAGUGUUUUAAUUCCCUCUCAACGGAUAACCUUUCUGGGAAUAGACUUGGACUCUCGCGCGAUGACAGCAAGACUAUCUCUCCCGCGCGUUCAGUCUCUCAUGUCAUGCGUGCGUCACUUCAAAGUAGGUUGCACAGUGACGGUGAGUUUGUGCCUCAGACUUUUGGGUCUAAUGGCAGCGGCAUCCCCUGUAAUCUGUCUGGGCUUACUUCAUAUGCGCCCAUUUCAGUGGUGGACGAAAAGCCGAAACAUUUCACCCCGUUGUUUUCCACAUUGGACAAUUUCAGUGACACGGAGGUGUGUUAUGUCAAUAAGACAGUGGAUGUCAACCAAAUUCCUAGCUGGAGUUCGGCUGGGGAUUUGUGCUUCCCGAGAGACUGUCACGACGGACGCGUCUUUGACCGGUUGGGGAACUGUUUGUCAAGGAUGCCCAGCUCACGGAGUAUGGAUGGCGACACAACGCGGUUGGCAUAUAAACAGGUUGGAAUUACUGGUGGUUUUUCUAGCUCUCCAGUAUUUCUCGAAUCUGCUGAUCAGCCGUCAUGUACUACUCAGGUCAGACAACAUAGCGGUUGUGUCGUAUCUGAAUCAUCAAGGAGGAUUACCCUCUCGACCCUGUGCAGGCUGGCGAGGAAUAUUCUUCUUUGGUCUCAGAACAGAUUUCUGUCGAUCCAAGCGGUUCAUGUCCCCGGACAUUUGAACUUCGGAGCGGAUUUGCUAUCCAGACAGACUCUGGAGCCUUUUAUGGCAAAUAUUUGGAGAAGCAAGGGUGGACUUAUGCGCAUCGAGCACGACUACGCAUUGCCCGCUGUGGUUCUCCCUAUGCCCUCCUUCGCCCCUAGGCUUGGAUGCGUUAGCUCACGAUUGGCCCAGGACCAGCUUAUAUGCUUUUCCCGGUGUUAUCCAGGAUGCGGCUGGACAGCGUGGAGCAGCUGCUGCUGGUGGCUUCGUGGUGGCCCACACAGCCGUGGUUUGCGGAUCUGGUCAGUCUGCUAG
ensembl:lncRNA